rnacentral:ncRNA from 1 species
AUGCUGCAUGAAAGGAGAGGUUAGCACUCCCCUUGACAAGGAUGGAAGAGGCUAUUGGGCCUGACAACACGCAUAUGGUUAAGGCAUUGCCACCUACUUCGUGGCAUCUAACCAUCAUUUUUU